rnacentral:tRNA from 2 species
UGGGGGAUCGUCUAAUGGCAGGACGGAUGACUCUGACUCAUCUAGUCUAGGUUCGAAUCCUAGUCCCCCAGCCA